rnacentral:ncRNA from 1 species
UGACCUCGGAUCAGGGGUGGGUACCCGCUGAACUUAAGCAUAUCAAUAAGCGGAGGAGAAGAAACCAACCAGGAUUCCCUCAGUAACGGCGAGUGAAGAGGGAGAAGCCCAGUGCCGAAGCCUGCGGCAGGUUUGUCGGUAGGCCAUGUGGUGUGCGGGUUGGCUGGCGGGACCGCCGCUCCACUCCAAGUCCAGCAUUGAGUAUGGUUGUGAGUGAAUGUGGCCCAUAGAGGGUGAUAGGCCCGUAGGAGUGGGGGCUCAGGCAGGUGAGGCGGUUCACCAGGCCGGCUCAGGAGUCGGGUUGUUUGAGAUUGCAGCCCAAAGUGGGUGGUAAACUCCAUCCAAGGCUAAAUACAGGCACGAGUCCGAUAGCGGACAAGUACCGUGAGGGAAAGUUGAAAAGUACUCUGAAGAGAGAGUAAAGAGUGCGUGAAACCGCGUGCAGGUAAGCGGGUGGCGUCAAGCUGCUAGCCGGGAGGACUCAGCUGGCUGCAGUGUAGUGUGCGCGCCUAGUGCGUCACCGUUAAUGGGCCGGGGAGAGGCGGUGGUCUGCUCCUUGUGGGGGAGCGGAGCAUGACUGCGAUCGCGGGCCACUGUUUCGCAUUCACCACGCCGCCGCCUAUUCUAUCUGUCUGUCUGCCCAUCUAUCUGUCCGCCUGUGUGCGCCCAUCUCUGCUGAGGUGGGUGGGCUGGUGGGUGGGUGGGUGCGUGCGUGAAUAUGCGGAGGGCGGGGUGGUGUGAGUGGUCGGUGGAUGCGAGGUUGUGGUCUGUGGUAUGCGUGUCGGACGGGCGCCGGAGCAUGCCACUCGCCCGUGGGCCUUGCAGUCAGUGCACUUUCUCCGUGGCGAACACCACGACCGGUGGGGUUGCCAGUCUGCCGUGGUCGAGUCGUGCCCACCUGGUAGUCCUUCUCCUCCUCCUGCUCCUGCUCCCCGUCGCUCGAUUGGUCGGUGAGUUGGCUUCACCGCUGACUGGCUGGCUGGCCGGCCGGCCGGCUGACGGACAGGUGGGUGGGGUGGAUGGGUCAGGUGGGCAGGAUCGCGGAUAGGUGAGCGGACGGCGCGGUGGUGCUGCGGUGUUGCCGCGUGCUAUCGUGCGCUUCCUGUCAACGAGCUGCUGUUGUCUGCUGUGCUGUGACCGCACUGUUGGUGGCUUGGCGGGCUGCGGUGGUGUAGGUGACUGUGCAGGGCAUCGGUUUUAUCCGCCUCAUUCGCUCGCUCGAAUGCACGAGCGGUAAGGGUACCCGGCACGCACGUCACAGGUGCAGUGGAGCGGGGCGCGCGGCUGUUGGUCGGCGUGGGGCGUGGCUGCCGUGUUGCCUGCAGAAUGCGGGCUCGCCGGUGGUCCGUCGUCGCGUGUCGCGGUGGGCGGCUUCGCGUUGCCUCGAGUGCAUGGGGUACCGGGGGUGGGAUAGUCGGUGGUGCGGUGGUAGACUAGCCACCUGACCCGUCUUGAAACACGGACCAGGGAGUUUAACAUGUGUGCGAGUCAAAGGGUGUGCUCGAGACCCCGAGGCGUAGUGAAAGUGAAGUCUGCGUCGUACGCGCGCGGUGCGAUGCGGCGAGGUGAGAUCCUGCUGUUGGCGUGCGGCCGGCCAGGCCAGGCUGGUGCGGGCGGCCUAUGGAGCAGUGGGCGCAUCACCGGCCCGUCCCAUGGUGUGGUCACUGGUGUGCGUUGGCGUGGUCGCGUGUGUCUGUGGCUGCGUCAGCUGGGCAGCCAGUGCGUCAUCGGGGCGGAGCGUGAGCAUGCAUGUUGAGACCCGAAAGAUGGUGAACUAUGCUUGCGUAGGUUGAAGCCAGAGGAAACUCUGGUGGAGGACCGUAGCGAUUCUGACGUGCAAAUCGAUCGUCAAACGUGAGUAUAGGGGCGAAAGACUAAUCGAACCGUCUAGUAGCUGGUUCCCUCCGAAGUUUCCCUCAGGAUAGCUGGCACUCAUUAGCAAAAUCAGUUUUAUCCGGUAAAGCGAAUGACUAGAGGUGCUGGGCUCGAAACGAGCUCAACCUAUUCUCAAACUUUCAAUGGGUGAGAUGUCCAACUCGCUUCAGACGCGUGCAUUGCAGCGGGUGGAGUUGGGCGGAUGAAAGUGCGCUACCGCCAUCAAUUCAAGAUUACUUGGAUAAAUUAAGGAGUACUGAGGGCCCAGAGUCUCCUCAAUAUCCAAACCCAAAG